rnacentral:piRNA from 2 species
UCAGCACAGAACGGGCACCCAGUGAGCAC